CAGCCGUAAACUAUGCGCGUUAGGUGUAUCGGUGACCACGAGUUACCGAGGUGCCGAAGGGAAACCGUGAAACGUGCCGCCUGGGAAGUACGGUCGCAAGGCUGAAACUUAAAGGAAUUGGCGGGGGAGCACCACAACAGGUGGAGCCUGCGGUUUAAUUGGACUCAACGCCGGGAAGCUCACCAGGGAAGACUGUUACAUGAAGGCCGAGAUGAAGACUCUGCUAGAUUUUCAGAGAGGUGGUGCAUGGCGUCAGUGACU
rnacentral:rRNA from 1 species